UUCAUCAAUAAGAACCUCUGCAGAAAUAGGAAAAUGCUUCAAUCACAAGAAACUCUUUUGUCACAACCUGUUUUGAGAGAGAAAAUGGUGGAGUUUCAUUUAAUCACAGGAAACAUUUUCUUAUUUCUAGAAUUCAUGCGGCUACAGAAAAACCAUUUCAACUUGAAGCACCACUAAUUUGCCAAAAAAGGCAAAGGUAACAAAUGGGGUAGACCGACGAGGGACAAGAAGGAGACGUGAUUGUCAUAGAGGAAUGUCCUUCAAAUGCUUGUGCCUUAUGUUUUUUUUUUUUUUUCCUUAGUACAUGAGGCUAUUUAAAAUUUUUGUGAUGGAACUAAGUUUACGAACUAUUAUUUUGUAAACAGUACUUUUAAAGUUUUGGUUAUUUGAAAUAGGGCCCGAUUUAAGUUUGCUCGUAUGAUUUCAAAUAAAAUUUACUAUAUUUUGUGUCAA